AGUGCUCGUGAUUCCAUCCCAGCAGCAGCUAGCAACCACAAUUCCAGGGCUUAUCGCCAGCAACAUCAGAAAAUUAAGAUUUUCCCUAGACCAUGACCAUCAUCCGACAGAUCGGUAGCAACAACGUUCAACUGACGGUAGAACCUGGCCAGCAACCGCAACUAGUGCAAUCGAUCCAAGCCAAUCAGGGCCAAAUGUAGAAGACCAUUGGUCAACCGCAAAAAAAAAGAUACAUAAACAGCACCUUCAAACACAGUAGCAGCAGCAUACUGUACUGUACCACGCCGCGCGCAGGAGGACUUUUUUUAUUCAGUUGGUGCAGCAAGAUCGAACAGCAACCAUAGCGGAUACACAUCACCGAACACCAGCAACAUAAUGCCAUGGUAACCACCCAGCAGCAGAACACGGUGAUAAUGGGCCAACAGUAAAUACAACAUCACGAUCCUCGGAAAGGACUUUCUCUUUCGAACAAACAUAAUGGAAGCAUACUCUACACGCACGACAUAUUCAAUCGGGCCAACCGUGUGACUCGUUUGGAAAAAAGCGCUCAUCAUCGGUUUCAUGGCAGUGAAGUGAGCAGACAA